GCAGUAGUAGUUCAGUGGCAGGAUCCCCACCUUCCAUGCAGGAGACCCAGGUUCAAUUUCUGGCCGGUGCA
rnacentral:tRNA from 1 species